AUCCAGCUGACGAGUCUCAAAUAGGACGAAACGCGCAUCCUGGAU
rfam:Schistosoma rodhaini strain Burundi genome assembly, scaffold: SROB_contig0010066